rnacentral:lncRNA from 1 species
UAGGGUUUGUCUGUUGUUUGAAGGCCGAUCUUCUCCGGUCGCGAAGAAGGAGGGUAACUCUGUCCUUAUCCUCGAUUUUAUGUGUGAUUACUUGACUCUGUAAUUGUGAGCAUCUGGUGGUAUCUGUGACUACUUGACCUAACUGUAGUUUGUUUGUUGGUUACUGUGUUUGUAUACUUGUUUUGGUAGUAUCCUGUUUGUUGAAAAGUUAUUCUUUUAAGUCGGUUCAUUAUGGC